rnacentral:rRNA from 1 species
CAAUAGCGUAUAUUAAAGUUGUUGCGGCUAAAAAGCUCGUAGUUGGAUUUCUGCUGAGAACGACCGGUCCGCCCUUUGGGUGUGUAUCUGGCUCUUUCUUGGCAUCUUCUUGGUGAACGUUGCUGCACUUGACUGUGUGGAGCGCUACCCAGGACUUUUACUUUGAGGAAAUUAGAGUGUUUCAAGCAGGCAUACGCCUUGAAUACAUUAGCAUGGAAUAAUAAGAUAGGACCUCGGUUCUAUUUUGUUGGUUUCUAGAGCUGAGGUAAUGAUUAAUAGGGAUAGUUGGGGGCAUUAGUAUUUAAUUGUCAGAGGUGGAAUUCUCAGAUUUGUUAAAGACUAACUUAUGCGAAAGCAUUUGCCAAGGAUGUUUUCAUUAA